UCGACGAAGCAAUUAAAAUGAAGUUUUCGGAUGGAUUUUUGAUUGACUGAGUGGCGGACGGGUGAGUAACGCGUGGAUAACCUGCCUCACACUGGGGGAUAACAGUUAGAAAUGACUGCUAAUACCGCAUAAGCGCACAGUACCGCAUGGUACGGUGUGAAAAACUCCGGUGGUGUGAGAUGGAUCCGCGUCUGAUUAGCCAGUUGGCGGGGUAACGGCCCACCAAAGCGACGAUCAGUAGCCGACCUGAGAGGGUGACCGGCCACAUUGGGACUGAGACACGGCCCAAACUCCUACGGGAGGCAGCAGUGGGGAAUAUUGCACAAUGGGCGUAAGCCUGAUGCAGCGACGCCGCGUGAGUGAAGAAGUAUUUCGGUAUGUAAAGCUCUAUCAGCAGGGAAGAAAAUGACGGUACCUGACUAAGAAGCCCCGGCUAACUACGUGCCAGCAGCCGCGGUAAUACGUAGGGGGCAAGCGUUAUCCGGAUUUACUGGGUGUAAAGGGAGCGUAGACGGCGAAGCAAGUCUGAAGUGAAAACCCAGGGCUCAACCCUGGGACUGCUUUGGAAACUGUUUUGCUAGAGUGUCGGAGAGGUAAGUGGAAUUCCUAGUGUAGCGGUGAAAUGCGUAGAUAUUAGGAGGAACACCAGUGGCGAAGGCGGCUUACUGGACGAUAACUGACGUUGAGGCUCGAAAGCGUGNGGAGCAAACAGGAUUAGAUACCCUGGUAGUCCACGNCGUAAACGAUGAAUGCUAGGUGU
rnacentral:rRNA from 1 species